AAACUUUUAUAUUAUUUUUUCUUACUUAAAAGGAUUGGAUAUAUGUAAUAGCAUCCAGACUUAAAUGCUGUUAUGAAAACUGAAACAAGCCAGACGAGCAGGAAGACACGGAAACUUGGAAGAUUUGUAAAGUUGUUUCGUAGAUUUUUCAGAAACUCUAAGAGAGGCGUGUCUUUGUCCUGUCACUCACCCCCGGCGGAGGAAGAUGGGUGGCUGUACGACAGAGUCUCUAGAACUCUGGUCUGGAUGGGAUAGAAAUCAUCC